GGAUGAACGCUAGCGGGAGGCUUAACACAUGCAAGUCGAGGGGCAGCAUAGGGUAGCAAUACUCUGAUGGCGACCGGCAAACGGGUGAGUAACGCGUAUGCAACCUACCCUGUACAGGGGGAUAACCCGGAGAAAUUCGGACUAAUAUCCCGUAAUAAUAUCCGGGGGCAUCUUUGGAUAUUUAAAGUUCCGACGGUACGGGAUGGGCAUGCGUAACAUUAGCUGGUUGGUAAGGUAACGGCUUACCAAGGCUAUGAUGUUUAGGGGUCCUGAGAGGGUGGUCCCCCACACUGGUACUGAGACACGGACCAGACUCCUACGGGAGGCAGCAGUGAGGAAUAUUGGUCAAUGGGCGCAAGCCUGAACCAGCCAUCCCGCGUGCAGGAAGACGGCCCUAUGGGUUGUAAACUGCUUUUCCAGGGAGAGAAACUUACGCACGUGUUGCGUGACUGACGGUACCCUGGGAAUAAGCAUCGGCUAACUCCGUGCCAGCAGCCGCGGUAAUACGGAGGAUGCAAGCGUUAUCCGGAUUCAUUGGGUUUAAAGGGUGCGUAGGCGGGCUAUUAAGUCAGUGGUGAAAUCCUGCAGCUUAACUGCAGAACUGCCGUUGAUACUGAUAGUCUUGAGUUUGGUUAAGGUAGGCGGAAUGUGUAAUGUAGCGGUGAAAUGCUUAGAUAUUACACAGAACACCAAUUGCGUAGGCAGCUUACUGAGCCGACACUGACGCUGAGGCACGAAAGCGUGGGGAUCAAACAGGAUUAGAUACCCUGGUAGUCCACGCUGUAAACGAUGAAUGCCAGGUGUAGGUGGUAUCGACCCCAUCUGUGCCGCAGUGAACACAGUGAGCAUUCCGCCUGGGGAGUACGGUCGCAAGAUUAAAACUCAAAGGAAUUGACGGGGGCCCGCACAAGCAGCGGAGCAUGUGGUUUAAUUCGAAGCAACGCGAAGAACCUUACCAGGUCUUGACAUCCAUUAAAAGCCGCAGAGAUGCGGUGUGGGCAUGCUCGUAAUGAGACAGGUGGUGCAUGGUUGUCGUCAGCUCGUGUCGUGAGAUGUUGGGUUAAGUCCCGCAACGAGCGCAACCCUUGCCAAUCGUUACUAACAGGUAAAGCUGAGGACUCAAUUGGGACUGCCGUGGACAACACGGAGGAAGGUGGGGACGACGUCAAAUCAUCAUGCCCCUUAUGACCUGGGCUACACACGUGCUACAAUGGUCGCAACAAAGAGGGGCGAAGCCGUAAGGCGGAGCAGAUCUCAAAAAAGCGAUCCCAGUUCGGAUUGUGGGCUGCAACCCGCCCACAUGAAGUCGGAGUUGCUAGUAAUCGCGAAUCAGCAUGUCGCGGUGAAUACGUUCCCGGGCCU
rnacentral:rRNA from 1 species